CUUCUGGAUUAAUUGAGUUUUUUUUUUAAUUUAAUGAGGCCAUUUUAUUUCUACUAUUGGCUUAUUAUUUAUGCCUUAAAAUUUUUUCUUUGUAGUAGUUAUCCAGGAUUUGCAAUAUAUAUCUUUAAUCAGAGCCUGUGUUCAAAUAAUACAUACUGCUUUACUCUCAGUCUGUGGCUUGUCUUUUCAUUUUCUUAGUGGUGUCUUUGGGAGAGUAGAAAUUUUAAAUUUUGAUGAAGUCUAGUUUAUCAAGUCUGUCUUUCUGGAUUAUGCUUUUGUUGUUAUAUGUAAGAAAUCUUUGCCUAAUCCAAAAUCCUAAGGUUUUUCUUCCAUAUUUUCUUUCCGAAGUUUUGUUGUUUUAGCUCUUACAUCAUUUAAGUCUGUGAUUUAUAUUGAGUUGAUUUUAAUGGGGGUGAGGUAAGAACCUUAAGUUUUGUUUUUCUCUUUUUUGCAUGUGGAUGUACAAUUGAUUUGUUGAUAUAUUUGUUCCAUGUGAGAAAUAGGGAAGAAGGAUCCAGUUGAGGGUUUUGUGCAUUUCCUGCAACUGCUGCUGUUCUCCUCUCCAGGGGACCACAAGGGACACUUUCUCAGAUUCCCACCACGGCUCCAGUUUUGUUUGUUUGUUUGUUUUGGUGAACUUCCUGUGAGGUCCUUCUAGAGGAUCUUGUGUGUAAGUGUGAAUUCCUCUUUGGUCUGUGGCCUCCAGGGUUUUAACAGUCUUUUGUUAGCUCACAGUCAGCCUUUAGCCAUUGGUUUAAAUUAUUGUAGGUUCUUACCAUUGUUCAGUAGUGUCUGUUUCAGGUAAACAAGUGCUUGUGUUCCUUCUCUCCUUAGAUUUUGGGUUUGUUGACCCUGCAAAUUCAGCUCUCUGCUGGGUUCAAGAACCAGGGUGAAUUUGUAGAUUGUAUGGUGUUCAUCAUUAUUACAAGAGUGGGAGAAAUGCUCUUUCUAGCUUUCUACAUUCUAAAAUGGUAAAUGUGGAUAUAUAGGUUGCUUUUUAUUCUUGAGAUAAGAAAUGGUCAUUGAGUUAAAAGUUCUGAAUUUUAAAGAGGUUUUAUGGAAAAUUUUGAACAUACAAAAAAAGGGAAAAUAAUAAAAAGAACUCCCAUAUGCCUAUGAACCACUGCCUUGCUUCAGCAGUUCCCAUCAGGGUAGACUAUACCCCCAUUCUUCUUUAUUAUGCUUUAUUUAUUUAAUGAUCUAUGUUGUACAUAAGUUCAUGUAAGUCUGCUUUUUAAGAUGUAAUACACAAACAUGUUCUUUUAAAAAAUAUUUUGGUGUUUUGUAGAUCAUAUCCACCUCUAGGUUAAGCAUAGAACAUUACUCAUAUCUUAAGACCUCUAUUUAACAUUAUUUCCAUCUAAUCCCAGCUCCUUACUCUACUACUGGAGGUUGCCACUAUCCUGAAUUUUGUGUUAAAUCAUUCCCGUGACUUAACUUUUUUGCUUUUGAUAUUUAUAUAAAUGGAAUUAUACUGUAUGCAUUAUUCUGUGUUUUGCAUCUUUUACACAAUACUAUAGAAUUUCAUCCAUUUUGUUGCACCUAACAGUGGUUAAUUAUAUAGUAUUUUAUAUGCAAAUAUGAUAGUUUAUUUCUCUGAUCUCUUGUCAGUGGACAUUUUGGUUGUGUCUGGAGUUUUGCUAUUAUGAAAAAUGAUGCUUAUGAAUAAUCCUGUACAUAUGACUGGGUAUAAAUGUGCAAGAAUUUCUCCAGGGUAUAUCUUAGGAGUGUAAUUCCUGGGUUGUCAUGCAUGUGUCUAUUUAACUUCACUAGGUAAUUUCAAAUUUCUAUUUUUAGCUAUUAUAAAUUAUAACUUAUUUAAUUAAAAAUUUAAAUUGUUGAUACAAAGAAAUGUUCUUGACUUUUGUAUGAAAUUAUCCAGUAAUCCUGUUGAAUGUUUUUAUUCUAAUGAUCUUUCUAAGGAUCCCUUUUGGUUUUCUAUAGAUAAAAUAAUAUAAUCCCUAGGUAAUGGCAGUUUUGUUGCUUUUAAGCUUUUGUUUCUUUUUCUUCUCAUAUUAUGGUAACUAGCACCUGUAUAUUAAUGUUAAAUAAAAAUGGAAGUUCCUUUUCUUGUAGGUUCAUUGGAUGGGAAUUGACAGUUUAAACAUACUGAGUUUCUGCUCGUAAAGCAUGGUUGUAUUUCCCUGCUUCUUUGCAUCCCUGAUAACUUUUGAUGUCAGCUAUUGUUAAUUUUAUCUUUGGUGGGGCUGGAUAUUUUCAUAUGCCUGUGAAUAUUCUUGAGCUUUGUGUGGGAUGCAGUUAAAUUACUUGGGAACAUUUUGGUCUUUUGGUGUCUUGUAUUUAAGGUUUAUUAAACAUGGGAAGAACAACAUUUAGUCUAGGGCUAAUUAUUUUCUGAGACAAGACCCUUCCAAAUGUAUGAUUCGUGAAAUUUUAAAAUCUCACUGGUAGGACUAGACACUAUUCUCACCCUCUGUGAUCUCUGGGUAUUGCUCCAUCUAAUCCUUUUUGGUGUUCUCCUGGCCUCAACCUCAGAUAGUUUCCCACUCAUGUACACUGAUCAGUGUUCUGCUGGAGGACUGUCUGCAUAUCUCUGGGGUUCUCUUCCCUCUCCACUUCUCUGCCCUGCAAACACUAGCUGCCUUUGUUCUCCUGGACCCUCCCCUCCCCCUCCUUUUAGGGAGUCUACUAGGCUCUGCUUGGGUUCCUCUUCCCUUUGUUCUGUCCUGGAAACUCAACGUAGUAAUCUGGUGGCAGUCAUAGAUGCACUUUGUUCUUCAUCUCUCAGAGAUCACAGUCCUUUGUUGCCUGAUAUCCAAUGUCUUGAAAUGAUUCUUUCAUGUAUUUUUUGUUUUUAAUUGAAGUAUAGUCAGUUAUAAUGUGUCAGUUUCUGGUGUACAGCAUAAUGUUUCGGUUGUGAUUAUUUCAUGUUUUCAUCUGGAGUUUUGGGUGUUUCAAGUUGGAGGGUAAAUCUGGUCCUAUUAUAUCUAUCUUGGCUGAAGCUGAUAUCCAAAUAAGAAUAUGUUUAAUUUCUAAGAUUUCCAGGUACAGUAGUCUCUUCAGUCUGUGAAGAUACUGUUUUAAAUUCAUCUUUAGGUUGCAUAAUUCACUCUUAUUGUAGAUAAUUUUCUGUUGAAUUUGGGAGUCUUUCUCUCAUAGAAUUGGUUUUCUUUAUACGUUUACAAAUUCUUGGUUGUCUGCUUAUGUUUUUUUGUAUUUGAGAAUUGCCAAACAUUUGUUUGUGGAUGCAAUUAUAGUACCUUAUCUGGCUUUUCUCAUUUUCCAUGAUGUGCUUCUAAGUAGAGUUUGGUGGCAGUUUGUGGGUGUGUUGUUCCUCAUGCUUGGAAUCAGCUCUUUGUGUACUUCAUUGUCUCUCUAAUCCCAGAUUUAUGCUCACUACAUCAUCCUGAGAGCAACUACUGCUGUUGAGCACUUGCUUCUUAAUUUGUAGCAAAAGCUGGAGAUGGAGGGAGUGAGCCCCACUAGCCCAGCUGGUCUGAAUUCAUUUUCCUUGUUAAUCACUUGAAUACCAAAAUCCCUUCCUGCACUUUGUAUAAGGUGCCACUUACCAGUGGAGUUUUCUUGGGAAUUUUGCUAUUUUCUGUGAUAGCCUUCUGCUACUACUUGGAGCUUCGGUUUCCUCCAAACUUAUUUUUGUGUCAAUCUUAUGCCAUUUGCAUUAUUUUUUAAAGCAGAAGUUCUUCAGAAUUUCUGCCCCUCUGGUAGCCCUUUUUUUUGUUUGUUGUUUUCCACUAUUACAGGUAUGUUCUUUUAAAAACAAAUAUCUUUUCUGACAGUUUAUGGGCUGUAGGGUAGAAUACUGUAGACACACGUUCAGUGGUUACAUGUUUCAUUUUAGGAGGGUGUACCAUAAGUAGUUUAUCAGCCCUCAUUAAUAAGAGAUUUAGGUGGUUUACAUUGUACAUAAGUUAUAUUGUAAUGAACAUUGUUGAACAUAUAUCUUUAAAUCUAUAUGUAAAUAUUUCUGAAGGGUAAAUUUCUACUGGUGGAAAUUUUUUUGUCAAAGAAUAUGUUUCUUGCUUUUGAUAAAUUUUAAAAGUAUACAUUGUCAAAUUAUCCUUCGAAAAAGUAUAUUGACAUUUGUCCAAACCCAUAGAAUAUAUAAUACCAAGAAUGAUCAGUAAUGUAAACAAUGGACUUGGAGUGAUUAUGAUGUGUCAGUGUGGAUUCAUCAGUUGUAACAAUUGUACCACUCUGGUGAAGGAUGUUGAUAAUUGGGGGAAGCCAUGCUUAUGUAGGGGCAGGGAGUAUCUGGGAAAUCUCUGUACUUUACUAUCAAUUUUGCUGUGAACCUAAAACUGAUCUGAAAAAUAAAGUCUUAAUUUUUAAAAA